GCCACACCCGUUGCUGACAGGUGUAUAAAAUCGAACACAGCCAUGCAAUCUCCAUAGCUGAACAUUGGCAGUAGAAUGGCAUUACUUUAGAACUCAGUGACUUUCAACAUGGCACCAUCAUAGGAUGCCACCUGGUACUCCCUGUAUAUAGCUCCAUUCUUGUGUAUUUUAUUCCUUGUGUUACUAUUUUAUUUGUAAUCUCUGCAUCGUUGGGGAAGGGCCCGUAAACAAGCAUUUCACAGUAAAGUCUACACCAGUUGUGUUCAGCUCAUGUGACAAAUAAAAAUAAUACCCAUAAAGCCUAGCGGUCAAACAAAAAUGGUUCCAAUCGGGGUUUUUUAACAUUCAUUUUAGAACCACUUCAAGAAAGGUCUGUUUCAUGUACCCUUUCCCUGGUGUGACGUUUUGAUAACCGUGUAAAUCUCUCUCGGACAAGUCUUGUCUCAUCACUGCAACUCCCAUACGGACUCGGGAGAGGCCGUGCGUCAUCCGAAACCCAACCAAGCCAAGCCGCACUGCUUCUUGACACGAUGCCCACUUAACCUGGAAGCCAGCCGCACCAAUGUGUUGGAGGAAACACUGUACACCUGGCGACGUGUCAGCGUGCACUGCGCCCGGCCCGCUACAGGAGUCGCUACUGUGCGAUAGGACAAGGACAUCCCUGCCGGCCAAACCCUCCCCUAACCUGGACGACACUGGGCCAAUUGUGCACCGCCCCAUGGGUCUCUCAGUCGUGGCCGGCUGCGACAGAGCCUGGACUCGAAACCAUAAUCUCUAGUGGCACAGCUAGCACUGCGAUGCAGUGCCUUGACCACUGUGCCACUCGGGAGGCCCGUCGAGAGAGAUAUACAUGGUUAUCAAAACGUCACAGUAAGCCUACACGAAACAGACCUUAUUUUAAGUGUUUGUAAAAUCCCUUAUUGGAAAAAUGAAUGGUGGAAAAACAAUUGGAACCAUUUCUGUUUGACUGCUAGUGUAACAGUGCAGGUUCUGUCCCUCUCUUCGCCCCAACCCGGGCUCGAACCAGGGACCCUUGCACACAUCAACAACUGACACCCACGAAGCAUCGUUACCCAUCACGCCACAAAAUCCGCGGCCCUUGCAACGCAAGGGGAAACCCUACUUCAAGUCUCAGAGCGAGUGACGUCACUGAUUGAAAUGCUAUUAGCGCGCACCACCGCCAUUUUACAUUGGUUACACUAGGUUUCAUGGGUAUUAUGACACCUCCACUGUGGGUCUCUAUUUGCCUCAUGCAGCGCGACACAUCUCCUUUGCAUACAGUUGAUCAGGCUGUUGAUUGUGGCCUGUGGAAUGUUUUCCCACUCCUCUUAAAUGGCUGUGCGAAGUUGCUGGUUAUUGGCGGGAACUGGAACACGCUGUCGUACACGUCGAUCCAGAGCAUACCAAACAUGCUCAGUGGGUGACAUGUCUGGUGAGUAUGCAGGCCAUAGAAGAAUUAGGACAUUUUCAGCUUCCAGGAAUUGUGCACAGAUCGUUGCGACAUGGGGCCUUGCAUUAUCAUGCUGAACCAUGAGGUGAUGGCGGGAGAUGAAUAACACGACAAUGGGCAUCAGAAUCUCGUCACUGUAUCUCUGUGCAUUAAAAUUUCCUUCAAUAAAAUGCAAUUGUGUUUGUUGUCUGUAGCUUAUGCCUGCCGGCCUGCCUGCCCAUACCAUAACCCCACCACGGGGCACAAUUGCACGCUCCCUCAAAACAUGAGACAUUGUGGCAUUGUGUUGUUUGACACAUUUUAGUGGCCUUUUAUUUCCCCAGCACAAGGUGCAUUUGUUUAAUCAGCUUGUUAAUAUGCCACACCUGUCUGGUGGAUGGAUUAUCUUGGAGAAAUGCGCACUAACAGGGAUGUAAACAAAUUUGUGCAUAACAUUUAAGAUAAAUAAGCUUUUUGUGAGUAUGGAACAUUUCUGGGAACUUUUAUUUCAGCUCAUGAAACAAGGGACCAACACUUUACAUGUUGAGUUUAUAUUUUUGUUCAGUGUAUAUAAUACCACAUUUUUUUUUGUGAGAAAACCAUCAGAGUUGAAAAUGCAAAUGUAUUUUGCAUUUGGUACAUCACGCACAGCCUUUUAUCUGCAACAAAUCAUUUGAUGGAAAAAUAUCUCUGCAGCAUAUUCUUUUUAUGUGGAUUUUAGAAUAUUUGCAUGAAAAUCUAUUGCUAAUUUGAUCGAAACCUAGCUACAGCUGGUUACAUUUAUUGGAGGUAGGCCUAUAUGCUAUGGGGCGUUCAGGGUUGGAUGUCCGUUCAAAAGAUGUUUCCCAUUCGGAAGUCUUUUUUUUCCCGAGUUCCCAGUUGUUUUGAACUCGGAAAUCUCUGACUUCAGUGCGUUCAAGACAACUGGGAACACGGGAAAAAACGAGCUCCAACUCGGGAACUUAAGACUCUUUUUAGAGCUCCAAUUUUCCGACUUGAAGAUCACUGAAGUCAUGAUUUGACCUCUUAUUUUCCCAAAUUCCCAGUUGUCUUGAACGUACCAAUAGUCCACGGAAAUGUGGACCAGUUAGAAAGUUGGACAUUUCCGAGUUUCCUUGUUCCGAUUAUACAUGAACGCAGUAAUAGACCGCAUUUCUUGGAGGUACAGAGCUAUCCCACAAUUCAUUACGGAACAUGUAUUCUAUGGUGCCGAGGAGGACUAUAAAUUUGCAAGUGCCGGAACAGCGGUCUCUUUGCAGACAUGAGUGGAAAAGAGGUUGUGCCACUAUUCAGGUCUUCAGACAUGGGAGGGCUUCAAAUGGGAAUAACAUGAUCCCUUUCAAGCAUGCGGACUGAAAGAAUUGCAUCAACUCUUAAGGAAAGCAUGCUCCAUCAACUCCAUUGAAGGUGAUUCAACUCUAUUCAAUGUGUUUGAAGACUAAGCAUGGAACUGCUGGGACUGGCUUGAUGGUUAAAUGGAAAAGGUAUUGAAGGAAAGAACACAAUUUGGUGGACUGCUUGCAUUUCAGCAAAAAAAUAUCCAGGAAUACAUGCUGAUUGUUUGACAUUCAAUGGAGUUGAAGCAUAGAAGGUUGACCAAACAUGGUGCUGCUUGGACUGGAUUGCUGUUUCAUUGAGUCGAUGCAAGACGAUGCAGAUUGUAUGGAAUGCGACAACUCCAUUGAAGGAUGCCACAGGAUUGUUUCUUUCUGGACUUGGGUGGUGUACAGAAUGUUACAUCCUGCAGAUGAUUCACUAAACUCCAGGCCAGACUGUUUGUCUCAGCCACCAUCAGCUGUGUUCACAUGGCCCUUUGACACAUCCUGGAGUGUCAUUGCAUAAUCCUCUUGUCUUGCAAUGUCUGGUUUCUGAACAAAUGUACCACAUAAUGAAUUGUUGAAUGUUUUGCCUUGACUAUGGUCCCGACUGCAUAAACAUGGGGACCUUCUCAAUCAGUGAACAAUAAAAUUGAACUUUGUAAAUUUAUUUUGUCAUUAAUUAUAAUAGAUUUUAGCUAAUAGCAUUGAAAUAAUGUUAACUGGAAACCACUCUGACUGGUUAGUGUAGAACUGUAGUUUUUACAUUGAUGACAGUUUGUUAUAUAACCAAACCAGGGCCAUGUUGAGUAACUGACUUGCAGAUAAUUUUAAUGUGUGAUGCUGGUGUGAUUGCUUAUUCUGCAUGUUUUCUACAUGGAAUAUUUCUAGCUGAAUGGACUGUUCUGAAGUUCCUCAUCUACAUCGAGUGAAACGCUUCAUGUUCCUAGGUGUGCACAUCCCUGACAACCUGAAAUGGUCCAUCCACACAGACGGUGUGGUGAAGGUGCAACAGUCUCCAAACUCGCGAGGCAGAAAUUUAGGCUUUGCCCCUAAAACCCUUAGGGACUUCUACAGAUGCACUAUUGAGAGCAUCCUGUUGGGCUGUGUUGCCGCCUUGUAUGGCAUUUUCACCGUCCGCAACUGCAGGGCUCUCCAGAGGGUGUGGUCAGCCCAACACAUCACUGGCGGCUUGUUCACCCCGCAACCAUCUAGAAGGCGGAGACCGUACAAGUGUAUAAAAGCUGGAACCAAGAGACGGGGGGGAAAAAAAUGCAAUCCAGGCCAUCAGAAUGUUAUAGUCACCACUAGCCUGCCCUGGACUUAAUCAUGUUACUAGCUGGCUACCACCCAGUACUCUACCCUGCACCUUUAAAGACUGCUGCCCUAUAUAUGUUAUGUGCGUAGUCAUUGAACACUGGUCACUUGAAUUAUGUUUGCAUAGUUUACCCACUUCCUAUGUAUACUGAAC
rnacentral:lncRNA from 1 species